rnacentral:rRNA from 1 species
UACAGAGGGUGCGAGCGUUGUCCGGAAUUAUUGGGCGUAAAGAGCUCGUAGGCGGUCUGUCGCGUCGGUCGUGAAAACUUGGGGCUUAACCCUGAGCUUGCGGUCGAUACGGGCAUGACUGGAGUUCGGCAGGGGAGACUGGAAUUCCUGGUGUAGCGGUGAAAUGCGCAGAUAUCAGGAGGAACACCGGUGGCGAAGGCGGGUCUCUGGGCCGAUACUGACGCUGAGGAGCGAAAGCGUGGGGAGCGAACAGG